rfam:Nicotiana attenuata strain TT chromosome 2, whole genome shotgun sequence.
UGGACAAAUUAUUGUAUUCGACUGUAUUCACGUGCGUGAAAUAGGGGAUUACACUGUUUUUAAACGGAAAGUGAAUCAAUUAACAUAAUAGACUCCU